UCACAGGGGCUCGAGGUCAUGUGGUCGGACACCAUUGGAAACACUGGUUAUUUUACCAAGGCUUUGACUGGAAUGUCAUAUUUGAGAGAGACAUGCGUAGACUCAGAUAUGACCAAACAGCUUUAAGGAACUGAGGUUGACUUUAUGAAACCUGGAGCCAUAAAACCCCUUGGAACUGUUGGCCUGAUACCUUGCUUACGGAGUUUCCAGCAGCCUUACCAGGUGUGCACCAUUUGCUGUCGGUCGUGACCCCCGCCCCCCCGGAGCCAUACCACCAGCCCCUGGACCGACCCCUGGGUAGAUUCUAACUGCCGCACAACCUGCCACCCCAUUUCAGCAGGAAGCAGCCAGAGUGGUCAUCGUCCCAAUUCCCUAAAGGCAGUUAGGGUUACUAUUCCAGGGGGAGGAAUGAGUAAGGGACAAGCGAGGCUAGGUAGGGAGAGACUGUUAGAGGGCAACCUGAUGAGGUUCAUGCAGGGGGCUAUGUAAACAGGCUCACAGAAAUCCCAGAUGUGGAGGCAUACAUACGAUAUUUACAAGAACGCUUUGUUUUGGGGUGCCUGGGUGGCUCAGUCGUUAAGCCUCUGCCCUCGG